rnacentral:rRNA from 1 species
UACAGAGGCCUCGAGCGUUAGGCGGAAUCACUGGGCUUAAAGCGUGUGUAGGCGGACUUCUAAGUACCUUGUGAAAUCCCACGGCUUACCCGUGGAACGGCUGGGUAUACUGGUUGUCUUGAGCCACUUAGGGGCUACCGGAACAAAUGGUGGAGCGGUGAAAUGCGUAGAUAUCAUCUGGAACGCCAAUGGUGCAGACAGGCUGCUGGGGAAUGAACUGACGCUGAGGCACGAAAGCCAGGGGAGCGAACGGG